AAUGAUAUCGGAAUUUGUUCUAGAAUAUUUUAUUCUGUUGACCGACUGAGCAAUGAAGUAAAGCCUCAAGAAAAUGUCUUCCGUACGGCGCCAGGUUUUUCUGCUUGUUAUUAUCUGUGGUGGUGUGUUCUUUUGUACUUCCGAAGCCAUCACAUGCGCAAACGAUCCAUGUCAAAAUGGCGGAUCAUGUACAGAUCAGAGCAACGACUAUACUUGCAGCUGUGUGCCUGGAUACACCGGACGCAAUUGUUCAACUAAUAUCGACGAAUGCGCAAAUAAUCCAUGUCAAAAUGGCGGAUC